rnacentral:sRNA from 2 species
GACACACACUUAAACCUCCUACGCACGCACUGACAGCCGAUUUCAAUACUAAAUCCUCACUUGAUUUCGCAUGGACAGACCACCCGACGAAUUGCUGUUAGUUAAAGCCUUUCGUUCGGGUCAAUUUCGGGUCAACCAUGCGGAACGUCGCUUAACUUUUUUGGCUUAGGAAUCAUCUAGUUAUGCACAGUACUGUGCUAGUUAACUAAGUUAACUAUGUAUGUAGAUGGUUAUAAUCCAAUUCCUCAAACCGAUCAUUUCCCCCUCGUGCUAAAAGCAAAAAAUAAAAUAAAAAUAAUAGUUGUACAUAUAUCCCCUCAUCUUGUAGAUUUAAUUUAAUCUUAAGGAUGGAAAGAAGAAGUUUAUCACUUGCUGUGUUUGUUGUGCUUGUACAUGUUCCAUUGUAGGAACUUGCUCUUUGAGAGUAGAGUUUGGACAAAUGUUGAUGGGGGGGGUUGCCCUGAACUUUAACUAAACUCUUUAACUAUUAAUAGAGGCA